GACGAACGCUGGCGGCGUGCUUAACACAUGCAAGUCGAACGAGUGGCGAACGGGUGAGUAACACGUGGGUGACCUGCCCUGCACUUCGGGAUAAGCCUGGGCAACUGGUUCUAAUACCGGAUAGUGUGGGAUGGGCCCGCGGCGUAUCAGUUUGUGGGUGGGGGAAUGGCUACCAGGGCGCGACGGGUAGCCGGUCUGAGAGGAUGAUCAGCCACACUGGGACUGAGACACGGCCCAGACUCCUACGGGAGGCAGCAGUGGGGAAUAUUGCACAAUGGGCGAAAGCCUGAUGCAGCCAUGCCGCGUGUAUGAAGAAGGCCUUAGGGUUGUAAAGUACUUUCAGCGGGGAGGCGUUACCCGCAGAAGAAGCACCGGCUAACUCCGUGCCAGCAGCCGCGGUAAUAC
rnacentral:rRNA from 1 species